AUGAACAAAAAAGCAAUAAAAUACACAAAAUUACAUCAGUCCUCACCACUAACUAUUCAGUGGUUAACGGCAUUGUUUCUGUGCCUGCAGGAGACUUUGGCCCCUCUUUACCACAGUGCACCAGCAGACCCCCACAGUCCUGAGAAUGAGCCCCUCCGCCCAUCCGCCUCCAUCGGUGCCAGCGCCUGCCUGCUGUUACCAGAGCAACCAACAGAAAAAGGAGGGAUGGAGGAAAAGACGGCUGCAGAGACUCAGAGCGAGGGAUCUGGAGAACCAGAAGAGGUGUCAGAAGAAGACUUUUCAAGUGUCUCUCCACUUUUGGCAGGUUCCUGUGUGUGUGUCAUUCCAGUCUGUGAGCCACUGGAAGUAGGGGAGAAUGAGGACUGUAGCCAGGCUGUGAGUCCUGGGAUGACAGGAACCUGCUUGUGUGGGGCUCUGGAAGAUGGAAACGAGGACAGAAGCAAAAGGCUGCGAGAAAGGGCCAAUGGAAGUCAAGAAAAGAUGGCUUUGACCACAAGUGAGACGUGUGAGGUUCCUCUGACCUCCUGUGGGGUUCCACCAUCCAGUCCUCCUGAACGCUGUCUGCCAGCCUCCCAGGCUCAGGUGAUGGAGCAGCCCAGAUCUGACCUGACGGACGGAUCACCGGUAAAAACAGUGGAAUUAUACACACAGACAAGUUUACACUCCACCUUUAAAGGAAAUAGCACAACCUCCACUGUGACUUUAGCCAGCCCCUCAUUAACUUCUGCAUCGGUUGGAGAUCUUUACCUGGAAAAGCCGCCUGAGUCCUCAAGCGCAGAUCAAAGCCUGGGACCUUCCUGGAGGAAUAGCAGGGAGAAAAGGUUUCCUCUGGGAGACUCGGAACUGGAAUGUUCACCAGAGAGUCUCCACAGUCAGCUGGCUGAACCAACUCCUACCUCAGGUCUUGUGUCUGGAAACAACAAUACUACCUUCAUCUCCAGCGGUCAGGUGAUGAAUUUCAGCGGUGAUGUCAUUGUCGUGUGUGUCAGCCAAACAUCUCAUGACGGUGACGAGGAGAGGCAGGGUGACGCUAUUGGGAGCCCUGUGCAGGAGGAGUCUAGCCAAACGGCGCAGUUUUUCCAGAGCAGGUGUCGAUCACAAGGGAACUACACUACCCAUAACACCUUGCAAGAACUGACAAUGCCAAUGAUGCAGGGAAAGUAAAACAAAAUAGUGGAGGACACCAACCAUCUCUGCAGCUGUUGGACAAACUUGCACUACUGAACAUUUUGAUGGUAACAUCAGUGCUGCAGCUCCCAGUGAGAUUGGAGUGAUUCAUAUAUGAAAUUUCACAAAGAUUCUUCAGUGGAAUUUCUUCUGGAAGUUGUUUUUCUAAAUACAUUGAAUGGAUCUUGCCUGACAUUUAUUUCCAGCUGAAAGCUACAGUGGAAACUCCCUUUUGAGACCAUUUUGGGGAAUUUUGAAUUGUUAUAGAAUUUGGGUUCAGACUGGAAGAGCAAAACAUUUGUUGCUCAGACUCAGUUGUAAAAUGUGUAUUUCAUUUUUUACUUUUGACUAAAAAAGUCCACCUUUUGGAUUUAUUCACUUUAAUGUUAUGUCUGGAUAAAUUUAAGACUUUUUUCCUACGGUUUUUCAGUGUUUAAAGAAAUCAACUUACUUUUUCCAGUAAAAUAUUGUUGAAUUGAUUUAAAAGUUGUUUAAAAUUCAAAUGGAUUUUUUAACAUUUUACUGAAUCUUUGCUUAUUUUAUAUGCGCAUGAUUUAACUGAGGCAAACAAAGUACAUCAAGUUUUGAUGUGAGGCUUGUUUAGCUAUUACAUAGACUGUACAUAGACUUUUUAUAAGACCACAAAUGCGGUUUUGGUCAAAAAAUAAAAUGCUAUGCAUUUGAUAAGCUACCUUAUUA
rnacentral:lncRNA from 1 species